AUGGCAAACAUCUGUUUUGAAAGACGUGCCCUGGUCGAAAUUCCCGAACCACAGCCGAAAAUUGCAGGUCGCUUGCGGAGGUCCUACAUGGAUGUUUUAAGUACCCGUGCAGGCUCUCUACCAAACAGUGCAGCUUUCCUGUCAAAACGUGGUCGCCCGUUGGUUGCCUGCACUCAGAGGCAGUGGAUUGGUGAGGUUGACUCUCGAGGUGAGGAGGUGGAGAAAUCCCCCACGACACUGUCCAGUCAACAGCUAGUCCAGCUCCUCAGCUCCCUCAUCCUCCUAGAGCAGGAACAGAAAUGCACAGAGCACACCUCAAAUCUGAAGCUACUGCUUGAGGACUUGCUUCAGAAGAAAGCCAGUGUUUACAGAUCCAUCCCCUACUCACGCCUAGGCUCCAACAGAGACGCUCACUGUUACAGAAAAGCCUACCCACACCUACUGGCGUUUAAACGUUCAUGCCAAGAGGGUGGCCAGACAUUAGAGAGAUGUGGCGAGUGGGAGUCUCUGCUGGAGUUUGCACUGACGGGCUGGAGGUGCACCAGCGAGCUGCCCCAGUGGGACACGGCAAGCCACAACGUUAUCCGCGAGCACUGCUACUCCAUGCUGGCCAAGCACUGCAGCACCGCCCUCAGGCACCACCAGCCUGCACCCAGCAAAGUCAGAGAAAUGCUCAGGAGAUUAAAAAUGACACAGGGUCACAAUCAGCAGAUGUCUUCCUGUGUAGAAGAGCUGAAGCAGCUUCUCAAAGACCUGAAACAUUAAAUGAAAGAUUUAAUACUUUUUGUGCUAAUUAUCAAGCAAAUGCUCAGAUGGAUUCCCGCCACCAAUCAAAAGGGUGCCAUGGCAACACCGUUGCCAGAUUAAAGGACUGUGUGCAGGAAAACAAACACGGAGCCUGUCAUCAUCAGUUACCUCUGCAUGCUGCGAUGUGCACAUGGUAACACUAGGGAAACCAGCUACUUAACUGCCUCAUGGUAUUUGUCUGAUGAUAUAAUUUUCUAAAUUAAUUUCUGUAUGUCCUGAGGAUAUCCUCAAGAACUAUGAAUUUUAAGGAAUCAUUUUUGUACAGUAAUUUUGCAAUAGUGGAUGUCAGAGAGAAUGUGAACUGGCCCAGUAGCCUCCUUGUUACUUGAAAUAUGUGUUUUGUAAGUCUUGAAUCUGAAUUUUGUUGUGCUUUGUAAAUAUAUUUUUUAUUUAUAUAUAAAUGUAAUGCUUGUUGUGUGUUUUCUUUGUCUUGUCCUGUCCAGUGUGGCACCUUUCGGUUAUCUCGGCUG
rnacentral:lncRNA from 1 species